rnacentral:rRNA from 1 species
AUUGAACGCUGGCGGCAGGCCUAACACAUGCAAGUCGAGCGAGCGGCGGACGGGUUAGUAAUGUCUGGGAAACUGCCUGAUGGAGGGGGAUAACUACUGGAAACGGUAGCUCAUACCGCAUACCAUCAGAUGUGCCCAGAUGGGAUUCGCUAGUAUGGGGGGUAAUGGCUCACUUAGGCGACGAUCCCUAGCUGGUCUGAGAGGAUGACCAGCCAAACUGGAACUGAGACACGGUCCAGACGCCUACGGGAGGAAGCAGUGGGGAAUAUGGCACAAUGGGCGAAAGCCUGAUGCAGCCAUGCCGCGUGUGUGAAGAAGGCCUUCGGGUUGUAAAGCACUGUCAGCGGGGAGGCGUUACCCGCAGAAGAAGCACCGGCUAACUCCGUGCCAGCAGCCGCGGUAAUUC